GGAACUUAUUGCAUAAAAAUAAGUGAGUCAAAAAUUGGCAGUGAAGGCUCAACACUGCUUGGAUGAACGGAUUAUCACAUAUUAUGAGGUAUAAGCCUCUCAAAAAAAUAGUUCACCAUGUCUGUUGUUAAUAUAAAUAGAUCUAUAAACUCCUAAAGUAAAUGCAUCACUUUCUAUUCUCAUUAUUCUCCUCUAUAUUAUACAUAUUUAUUUCAUUUCUUAAUUGCUCAUUUCUUUGUAUAUGACCAAGUAUCCGAGCAGGAAGCAUCUGAACGUCGAACUAUAUCGGUAUUUAAUAUAAACAUCAAAA
rnacentral:lncRNA from 1 species